CCUUCGGGAGGCAGCAGUGAGGAAUAUUGGUCAAUGGGCGUAAGCCUGAACCAGCCAAGUCGCGUGCGGGAUGAAGGCUCUAUGGAUCGUAAACCUCUUUUAUAAGGGAAUAAAGUGUGGGACGUGUCCUCUGUUGUAUGUACCUUAUGAAUAAGGAGCGGCUAACUCCGUGCCAGCAGCCGCGGUAAUACGGAGGAUCCGAGCGUUAUCCGGAUUUAUUGGGUUUAAAGGGUGCGUAGGCGGCCUUUUAAGUCAGCGGUGAAAGUCUGUGGCUCAACCAGAGAAUUGCCGUUGAUACUGGGAGGCUUGAGUAGGUUUGAGGCAGGCGGAAUGCGUGGUGUAGCGGUGAAAUGCUGAGAUAUCACGCAGAACCCCGAUUGCGAAGGCAGCCUGCCAAGCCAUGACUGACGCUGAUGCACGAAAGCGUGGGGAUCAAACAGGAUUAGAUACCCGGGUAGUC
rnacentral:rRNA from 1 species